UUGACGGGUGGGAUGAUCCUUACCUAUUCCUCCUUAAGAAGGGCAGAUAGAACACGAUGAUUGGAGAUGCAUGAAAUGUGAUUAAUGCCUCUGCAUAAUCAGGACUUGAAUACCCUGAGCAUGCCUAUCUGAU
ensembl:snoRNA U8 U8 small nucleolar RNA